UACGUAGGGUGCGAGCGUUGCCCGGAUUUAUUGGGCGUAAAGGGCGCGUAGGCGGCCACGCACGUCCGUUGUGAAAUCGCCCGGCUCAACUGGGCGGGGUCAGCGGAUACGGUGUGGCUCGAGCAAGCUAGGGGGCAAUGGAAUUCCCGGUGUAGUGGUGGAAUGCGUAGAUAUCGGGAGGAACACCAGUGGCGAAGGCGGUUGCCUGGAGCUUUGCUGACGCUGAGGCGCGAAAGCGUGGGGAGCGAACAGG
rnacentral:rRNA from 1 species